GACGAAGGUAAGACCGAUGACAGGGACGAAGUCGUAACAAGGCAUCCGUAGCGGAAGCUGUGGAUGGAUCACCUCCUUU
rnacentral:rRNA from 1 species